GCGGAAGUAGUUCAGCGGUAGAACGUCUCCUUGCCAAGGAGAAGGUCGCGAGUUCGAAUCUCGUCUUCCGCUCCA
rnacentral:tRNA from 1 species